rnacentral:lncRNA from 1 species
CCGAGCCGGGUGGAUAGCUCGUAGAGGUAGACGAAACCUUAUGAAUAGAAUUGAGAUUGACAGGGAUAUAAGAUAAAGGAAAACUUAGAAGUCGAUUGGAUGAGAUAUGGUUACCAGGAUUGAAAGUAGUAUCGAAUGAACUACUAGUUGGUUAUAUAGUUGCAUUAUUGCAUGAAUUGCAUAUAGCAUGACAUUAUUACAUUUGUGAGGCAAAGUAUGGUAUUGUUAGUUGCAUAAUCUAGAUAUUAUAUCUAUCUGUUUAUUGAACUAACCUGCUGUUUGCCUCCUUUGGACCUGUUGGUCGAGCUUUUCCCUUGGGUGGCCGUACCCACUGGGAACCAUGGAGUUAGUUCUCACCCCACGUUGCUUUGGGGUGUUACAGGUUCGCACGUGAGCGGCGCAGCGGCACUAGGAAAGGACGUAACUCCAUAGAUAGCGCCCUACCACAAAGACCAGAGAUAGCAGUACCCCGAGUCGACAUAUCCUAGGGGUAUAGAGAUGAAAAGAUCAAUGUAUCGAAUUUGUAAUGAAUAAAUGAUGUAAUAAUUCAGAUUCCAUUUGGAUGAAAAAGAAUUGUAAUUGGGAUGUUAAAAGCAUGUAUGUGAAUGCUUGUAAUAACUUAGCUGUUAUGUUUUG